UUUUCUGCUCCUUUCUUCCUGCUGUCGUAAGGAAUAGUAGCUCCAAGAGUGAUACGUUUUAUCCAGCCAGACAUGGAAGCGUUAGCCACGCUCAAAAAAACCUCUACAAUCCUUUCAUGGCCGGAGCCUGACUCCCACCAGCCUCAGCCAUGACUAGUGACCUCUCCUGUAACCUACCAAACGAGGCGACUCCACCAGUUGAGGCAGUUAUUCUUGUUCUCUCCUUCAUCUGGUCUCUACUCUUGUCCUCUUCCUAUGACUGAUGGAGGAGCUAGACUAAUUGAAAAUUGAAAGAUUUGGAAACCAAAGCUGAAGACACUCGUCAAAAAGGAGAAGAAAUAACAAAAAUAAUAGCAGAACUUGAAGCCUCUAUAGCAAAAUAUAAAGAAGAAUAUGCAAUGGUUAUAUCUGAUGCUAGUGUUAUUAAGAAUGAUUUAUCAACUGUUGAGAAAAGGGUUAAGUAUUUUAAUAAUUAAAGAUACAUUAAUUAUCUUUUAUUAAUAAUUUAAUUCAUUAAUUAUUCAUUAGGUGAGUUCCUCCUUGAUUUGCGUCACCUUGAGAAGAGUCUCCUCACUGCAUUGAACGAGGUCAAGGGUCGUAUCCUAGAUGACAACAGAAUCAUUACUGAGCUUGAGACUCUUAAGGAAGAGGCUGCAGAAGUUCAGAGGAAAAUGGAGGAGACUGAUACUGUAGUGGCUGAAGUUGACAGAGUCUCCCAGCAAUACCUGCCUCUCUCCACCACCUGCUCUGCCAUGUACUUCACUCUGGAGUCACUCAAUCAGGUAAUUGAAAUCAUGUGACUGUCGUGUGAUUUAGCAGUACUUUAUUUUGAUGGUUUUGCUUGAAAAAUACAUUAGGCCAGCUUUUAAUUGGCAAAUUUGUCCACUCAUGUAUUACUAAACAUUUCACUAUUGAAAAUUUUGAUUGCAAAA
rnacentral:lncRNA from 1 species